CAGUAGCCGCGGUAAUACGUAGGGUGCGAGCGUUGAUCGGAAUUACUGGGCGUAAAGCGUGCGCAGGCGGUUUUGUAAGACAGGCGUGAAAUCCCCGGGCUCAACCUGGGAAUGGCGCUUGUGACUGCAAAGCUAGAGUGCGGCAGAGGGGGAUGGAAUUCCGCGUGUAGCAGUGAAAUGCGUAGAUAUGCGGAGGAACACCGAUGGCGAAGGCAAUCCCCUGGGCCUGAACUGACGCUCAUGCACGAAAGCGUGGGGAGCAAACAGGAUUAGAUACCCCCGUAGUCCCUGUCUCUUAUAC
rnacentral:rRNA from 1 species